GUAUAAGCUAAUAUAUGGAUCAAGUGGUUCGUUAACUGGAAUAAAUACAUUAAUGAACGAGGUUAAUAUUAGGGAAAACUGGGGGGUUGGGGUGCAUAGGAGCUCUGUACUAACAGCUCAACUUUUUUAUAAAUCUAAAUAGCUCAAAAACUAAAGUCAAUUUUAAAAAAGACUCUAAAAAUCAAAGUCUACUAAUAAAAAAAUUCUUUAUAAUGCUAGGUGAGUAGACUUUACUAUCAGUUGAAGGCUUUAAGAGCAAAAAUAGAGAUUUCUUAAAGAAGUUCUGCUUCAAGACUAUUGCGUAGAAAUCCUGCGUGAAGUUUCCAGCCUACUGAGCCGGAUUUUGGACAGACUGCAGCAUCAACUCUUAAUUAAAUUUCCAGCCUGCGGAUUUUGGACUUGACAGACCCCACAAUCAUGAUCCUCUGCAAAGGAUGUUUAUAAAAGAUGGCAGCACAACUGGAAGAUGCCUUCGUGAAGUUCCAGGGCAGUGGACCUCAACAUGAUCGUUAAUGCCAGAACUUUACAAUGAAUUGUUCUCAUCUGUUUCCGUGACAGCCAUUGAAACAUUUGCAAGAAAAUACUUUAAGCGUUUCCUCAAGAAUGCUCCGCGGACGGUCAGUACCAGGAUCACCGAGUGCCUGUUGAAAGCGCCAAUUCAAACCAGGGCCUACUGAGUCUAAAUGAUUUACAAGCACCACAGGUGAGUCUAAUGUAAAUUGUCUAGAUACAGUCAAACUGAAAGUCUUCCAAAAUGGCUAGUCAGGCAACUCCCACUUCCGCGGAAGGUGAA